UGACAGUACUCCACGGGGAGGCAGCAGUGGGGAAUAUUGCACAAUGGGGGAAACCCUGAUGCAGCCAUGCCGCGUGUGUGAAGAAGGCCUUCGGGUUGUAAAGCACUUUCAGUAGGGAGGAAGGUAGUGUAGUUAACACCUGCAUUAUUUGACGUUACCUACAGAAGAAGCACCGGCUAACUCCGUGCCAGCAGCCGCGGUAAUACGGAGGGUGCGAGCGUUAAUCGGAAUUACUGGGCGUAAAGCGCAUGCAGGCGGCCUGUUAAGUCAGAUGUGAAAGCCCGGGGCUUAACCUCGGAAUUGCAUUUGAAACUGGCAGGCUAGAGUCUUGUAGAGGGGGGUAGGAAUUUCAGGUGUAGCGGUGAAAUGCGUAGAGAUCUGAAGGAAUACCAGUGGCGAAGGCGGCCCCCUGGACAAAGACUGACGCUCAGAUGCGAAAGCGUGGGGAGCAAACAGGAUUAGAUACCCUGGUAG
rnacentral:rRNA from 1 species